rnacentral:rRNA from 1 species
AUGGCUCGCGUCCUCCGCACUUCCGUCGUGGCGCCCUCGCCGUCGCCCGGCGGCGCGGCGCUUCCCGAGCGCUCUCUCCCGCUCAACCACAUGGACGCCAUGUGGCUCCACACCUCCCCCGUAGAGCGGGUCUUCCUCUUCCACCGCGCGGAUCAGCACGACGACGCCAUGGACGUCCUCCUCUCCAACCUCCAGGACUCGUUGUCAGAGGCGCUCCGCUCCUUCUACCCGCUCGCCGGCCGCCUCCGCAUCACCCCCGACACACCCAACCGGCACGAGCUCCACUACCAGCCAGGCGACGGCGUCAGCUUCACCGUGGCGGAGUACGAUCACGUUGGCGUGGACAAGCUCGCCACGGACGAGCCGACGGAGCUUGCCAGGAUCGCCCCGCUGAUGCCGCGGCUGCCGGAGGGCGGCGCGGUGCUGGCUCUGCAGGUCACCCUGCUGCGCCGUGGCGGCCUGGCCGUUGGCGUGACGGUCCACCACGCCGCCUGCGACGGCGCGUGCUCCACGCACUUCCUCCACACUUGGGCGUGGGCGGCAGCGUCCCGUGGCGCCACCAUCGCGCCGGAGCUCCCCGUCAUCGGCCGCACCUUCAUCCGCGACCGCGACGACCUCUACGACGCCUUCGCCGCACCCAGGGACCGCGUCGGGAAGCUCCUCAGGUCGCCGGACGCCGUCGUGGACAAGCUCCUCGCCACGUUCGUGCUGUCCGAGGACCUCCUGCGCCGCAUCAAGGACACGGUCGCCCGCGAGGCGGCGCGCCGCGGCGUGUCGCCGCUGCCGCCUCCUCCCACGUCCACCGUAGCAACGUACGGCUUCAUCUGGCACUGCUACUACCGCUCAAAAGAAAGCAGCGCCGGCGGGGGUAACGACGACCGCGCCUACGCCGUGUUCGCGGCAGACCACCGCGCGCGGCUGGACCCGCCCGUCCCCGCCACGUACCUCGGCAACUGCCUGGGCCUCUGCUUCGCCACGGCAGGCAAGAAGGAGAUCACCGCCGCCGGCGCGGGAGGCCUCUUAGCGGCAUGCUCGGCGGUGGCCGCGGCCAUCGACGAGGCGACGCGCCCGCGCGGCGGCGACGGCGGGCGGGGCAGCUGGGACGCGUGCCUGGAGCGCGUCGUGGAGGCGUACGGCGCCGGGGUCCCGCUGACGCUGGCGGGGUCGCCCAGGUUCCGGGUGUACGACGUGGACUUCGGGUUCGGGAGGCCCGCCAAGGUGGACAUCGUGUCCGUGGCGAGGACCGGCGCGAUGUCGGUGGCGGAAGGCCGCGGCGGCGCCGGCGGGACGGAGGUGGGCAUCUCGCUCCCGCCGGACGGCAUGCACAGGUUCCGGAGGUGCUUCGCCGACGCCGUCGCGUGCCUCUCGUCGACGUCGCCCGUGAAGCUGGCUGGCGCAGGUUUGUCGUCACUCGUCAGAACUCCAAAGUCUACUCCCUCUUUUUUUUCUCGACGAUGGUCAAGUCUUCCGUCUUCUUACGGUCAAGUCUUCUUCACUUCUUUCUUUCUUUCUCUUGCAGAUACUCCUACAUAA